AUUGAACGCUGGCGGCAUGCCUUACACAUGCAAGUCGAACGGCAGCACGGGAGCAAUCCUGGUGGCGAGUGGCGAACGGGUGAGUAAAGUAUCGGAACGUGCCCAGUCGUGGGGGAUAACGUAGCGAAAGUUACGCUAAUACCGCAUACGAUCUAUGGAUGAAAGCGGGGGAUCGCAAGACCUCGCGCGAUUGGAGCGGCCGACAUCAGAUUAGGUAGUUGGUGGGGUAAAGGCUCACCAAGCCGACGAUCUGUAGCUGGUCUGAGAGGACGACCAGCCACACUGGGACUGAGACACGGCCCAGACUCCUACGGGAGGCAGCAGUGGGGAAUUUUGGACAAUGGGCGAAAGCCUGAUUCAGCCAUGCCGCGUGCAGGAUGAAGGCCUUCGGGUUGUAAACUGCUUUUGUACGGAACGAAAAGGUUUGGGCUAAUAAGCUGAGCUCAUGACGGUACCGUAAGAAUAAGCACCGGCUAACUACGUGCCAGCCGCCGCGGUAACAC
rnacentral:rRNA from 1 species